AAUGGAGCUAUCCUCUUUAGA
rnacentral:tRNA from 1 species